rnacentral:rRNA from 1 species
GAUGAACGCUGGCGGCGUGCCUAAUACAUGCAAGUCGAGCGAACGGACGAGAAGCUUGCUUCUCUGAUGUUAGCGGCGGACGGGUGAGUAACACGUGGAUAACCUACCUAUAAGACUGGGAUAACUUCGGGAAACCGGAGCUAAUACCGGAUAAUAUUUUGAACCGCAUGGUUCAAAAGUGAAAGACGGUCUUGCUGUCACUUAUAGAUGGAUCCGCGCUGCAUUAGCUAGUUGGUAAGGUAACGGCUUACCAAGGCAACGGUGCAUAGCCGACCUGAGAGGGUGAUCAGCCACACUGGAACUGAGACACGGUCCAGACUCCUACGGGAGGCAGCAGUAGGGAAUCUUCCGCAAUGGGCGAAAGCCUGACGGAGCAACGCCGCGUGAGUGAUGAAGGUCUUCGGAUCGUAAAACUCUGUUAUUAGGGAAGAACAUAUGUGUAAGUAACUGUGCACAUCUUGACGGUACCUAAUGAGAAAGCCACGGCUAACUACGUG